rnacentral:snoRNA from 1 species
ACCCUUUUAAAAGCACUCAGUGGGCCUUUUGCUGAUGACCCGCUGAGCCGUCCAGAAAGGGCAGAGUGAAAACACCGCUUUUGGGUGAAGCGGCAGCAUGUUGUGUUGUUUUGCUUCAAUCGGUGGUGUGACAAGG